UACGUAGGGGGCAAGCGUUGUCCGGAAUUAUUGGGCGUAAAGCGCGCGCAGGCGGUCGUUUAAGUCUGGAGUUUAAACCUAGGGCUCAACCUUGGGUCGCUCUGGAAACUGGGGGACUGGAGUGUAGGAGAGGAAAGUGGAAUUCCACGUGUAGCGGUGAAAUGCGUAGAGAUGUGGAGGAACACCAGUGGCGAAGGCGACUUUCUGGCCUAUAACUGACGCUGAGGCGCGAAAGCGUGGGGAGCAAACGGG
rnacentral:rRNA from 1 species